rnacentral:lncRNA from 1 species
AAGGUGUUGAAAGCUGGCCCUGAUUAGCUCAGAUUUACAGAUGAGUGUGAGCUCAUGGAGGGAACAACAUGACCACGUGUCACACUGUAAUACCUCUCUCUGUCGAAGAAGGGCUGUCAAAUUGACUUCAAUAUUACAACCAAAUGAUAGCGCUUUCAAUUCAGAACAUUGCAAAGGAAACAAGACUUCCAGACAACUGCCGCGCCGCAUAUGUGUCUGUGUAUUGUACAGGCCUAGGCUUACAGUAACACAGGGGACUUUUUUCAUAUCUUCCCUGUAAAAACUUCUGCACAAACAUGUCAAUGACGUAUUUGGGGUAUUUCUUUCUACUAAGCGAUGGGACAAAUCGCUAGUGAAUUCCCUUUUUGUUUCGAAACAAGUGCCUCUGAACUUGGCCCUUGCUGCAUCACAGUGCAUCCUGUCACCGGCGCGUGAACAUCUUGCAUUUUAGUCUCAUAAUAGCCUAUUGUGAAACACAGCCAGUCGCACGGUGCAGAAAGUCAGUGUAGCAUUGAAGAUGUUGCGAUUGCUGUUUCUGUGUUUGAUUGUGACUCUGCAAGGAGCUGCUGCUUCCUCAGAAGAGAGUGAAGGAUCAGCAGACGUAGCAGACGGAGACGAUGAAGAUCUAUUCAAGCAAAACGUGAUCCCAAAUCUCAGGAAUGAUUACGUGGUUAUCGAACCUGAAACAAAUGAUAUUGUGGACACAAACAAGGCAACAGGAGAAAAAGUAGGGGAAGAUGGAUUUACUACCAUUGUCAUCAUCGUAGCCGUGAGUGUGGUGGCACUGUCAAUCGCAGUGAUAGUAGCCAUAGUGCUGGUCCGGCGCCGCAUGCACAACCGACCACAAGGGAUCUACUCAGUGCCUACAGAACAGGGAAUGAAAGGAACGGUCUAACCACAAGAUGAGCUCCAGUCCAAUUGGACACCUGCAGGGGAGGAGCUCUACAACACACUGACCUUUGACUCAGGAAGGGAACACUUUCCACCCCAGCCUGCUCUUACUGAACCACUCCCUACUGCUCUCCUCUCUGGGACCAUCUGUUACUGUGUCAUGGGUCCCCUCCAAAGCCAGUGUAACUUAGUUUCCUAUAUUUGGUCUGUUGUUCAUUUUUGUGCCACAUAUCUCAAUGUAUGUGUGUAUAUUUAAAAGGGCAUUCUGCAGUUGCUAAAUCCAUUUCUGGAUGUACUCAUUGAUUCUUGAAUAAUAUAUAUGCCUCAGUUCAACUGUCGUGCCCCAUCAGAACCCAAAACAUAAGCUUGUUUUAUGCCAAUGUUAGCAAACAAAGUAUGUUUAAACAAAUGCUAUAUAGCCUCAAAACAUGGUUAAAACUAUGAUUUUGAUAUCACGGAUAGUCAGUCUUUGCAUCCAUAGCUCAUAGCCUAUGAAUUUGAGAAUGGUUAUAUUUCUCUGGCCCCAUCCCUCAGUUUUUUACCAAAAUAGGGAGAGAACGCUUUAUUGUUUCAACUACGGAUUAUCCCUUUAUGCUUGGGACACAUAGCAACAUUUGGAACCUAAGUUUUGUCAUUGGAUUCUAUUGAAAAACCCUGAAGCCAAUGAAUGUGACCAAAUGUGACAAACUCCUUUUGUCCAAUGGCAUAUUUUUCAAGAAAAACAAGUAUUGCUAAAAGUCAUUUGCAAUUGUUCCGACAGGUUUCUCCGCUCCUUCACUAAACUAAACUGUAUUCAGAGUUGAUUUGGUGCAUUCAGAACAGGCUUUUUUUGCAUGAGAAAAACAAGUUUAAUCCACCCUAAACCAACCCAGUCCUCUCUAAAUUUCCCCAUUCAACUCUGUGACAUAUCCUGUCCUUGGCCUCUUAGUGACAACAGAAAAUACAGUUGAAAGAUAAAACUCUCCCAUCUUCUCAACCUCUGAAGGGGAAAAAAGGAAAAAAAAUGGGUGGAAAAAGCCAGUCAGGUCUGUUUGAACAUUCACUUGAGGUGGAGAAUUAAUCAACUUUAGUGAAUGAUGUUUUCUUUUCAACUCCCCCCAUUCUCUUUUUCUUUUUGAAAUGCUUUUGUUCAAAACGUCAACCACAUCACCGAUUGUAAAUUGCUCUCGGAUGGCUGAGGAAAGUCUGAUUUGAAUGGUUUAUAGUGCUGGGACAGGGACGGGGAUGGGGACGGGGACCGGGGGAUAGAGAGGAUAAAAUAAAGUGUGGGGGUAGGUAGGGUGGGAUGUGAGUGGGGAAAUACCCACCAUGCCCAUGUUUCAUUCAUACUGAGUACAGGGCCGCUCCACGAUCGCUCCCUGGCUCUACUUUCAUUUAAAUGGAAAUCAAUCAUGCCCCGUGAACAAAAGCUUUAGGGCCGAGGUGCUGGCUGGCUUAUUUCUUACUCUGCAUUACAGAGAAAGGCAGGGGUCAGAGGAGAGGGGGAGGUGGACAUUAUGUGCUUCUGCAUGACAGGGCUAUUCAUUUGUUGCGUUAUCAUGAGGGAACAAGGGUUGUUGUGAGUGUGUGUGAAUUACACCCACGAUCAAGUAGUGUUGAAAUAACUGGGUCUGUCUAAACAGCAUGCGCACUGUCUUUCUCCACUCAACCUUACUGCUGUGAUGUCAUCAGCUGGGGAUGGGCUUGGCUCCAGGCUGUACAGAAACACCUGUGUAAUUAGCGCCUCCAUCUCAUUUUGUGUUAUCUGGUUCACUCAAUCAGAAUUGUCCCAAUCUGUUUAAGUUGAUGAAAUUCAAUUAGUAGCUGGUGCUGCUAAUAGUGAGAAACAGAUCCUAAAUGCAUACGGAGUGGUAUGUGUGUGUCUGCACUCUGCAGGUGUUUGUGGGGUUUGAUUGAAGCAUCACAACUAGCCCAGUAAGCCUUUCUUAGAUGUAGUCUAGCUCUGACAGCAUUUCAAAAGGAGAAUAAUUUGACAUACAUUUAAAAGAACUUUCACUUACCCUUUGUUUACUGACCACAGUCAUAUUCAAGAAAGCCUUUUUCCCUACUCAGAAAUAGCAUGAGAAAUACCCUUCACCUGCAAAGCAGAUGUUGUGGUUACGAGUCUGCGACUAGUCUCACUAUAAGAUGAGGUUUGCAUAGAACAGUUUUUCUUGUUCACGAUACAAAGAACAUCUAAGAACCGUUCAAGCAAGCAUGUUGAAUAAGCCAUGAACCAAAUAAAGUGCAGAAAUCCUAAAAGAAUUGGUUUGACCUGUGUAAUGCCCUGUUCAUUCAGCUACACUCGCACAUCUCCGUGGCAUUAUGCUCCUUCAAAGCCACAAAGCAUUGCUAUUGUGAAUGCAUCAAAACUGAUUGUCCUCCAUUUAUUUCUUCCAGGCCUUACGUUGAAAAGGGUAUGAAAUGUUCAAAUAUUGGAAAAAAAUAUUGGAUUUUCAAAAGAGCUCCAUGGGCUUUUUCAGCUGUGCAAAAGUUUCUCUAGGUCAUUUUUCAUCUAAUCUUUAUUUUUUUGUCAAGAGAAAGCACUAUCGAGUUCAGCCAAUCCUUGACACUGUCAGACAUGUCAGUAACUUAUUAUACAAAAGUCCUUACACCACCCCCUCUCCAAAAAAACUGUUGUGCCUUCUGUCUUUUGAUGAAAAUAGGAAAAUGUAUCAACCAGCAGAUUUUGUUUGAUGAGCUUGAUGCAUUUCAGGGAUGAUGCGUCCUCUGCACAGCAAUACGUUAUGCAAAUGUCUUCCAAAAAAUUAUUUUCUUUGACAAGUAGCUUGGUGUAUUAUUAUAUUGUUAUGAAAUGUCCUAUUGUAAACUCAAUAUUCAAAUGAUAAUUUAGUCUUUUAGUUAAGCACACGUCUUCAGCAGUACUCAUAAUCAAUGCUGAUAAACCCUGUACAUUCUGUUUGCUCAGGAUCAUUAACUAUUUGUAACGUACAGCAGCGAAGUGUUUUGACAAUGCUCUAUAUUUCAUCCAUUCCUAUGUCUAUGAAUCUGAGUCUGCUUUAGAAUAACGAGACCUGCACUAAAAGUGUAAUCUUGCUGUUCUACUUGUACUGUAGGUUUCCACAGCCCACACAUUCUCCAAUCAUUCAAUUUGGACUAGCAUUACUUAUGUUCUGUAUAUGGCUCUUCUAUAUCAUGGAUUAUGACUAUUUUUACAUUAAAUGUGUUCUGCUAUGCUUUGUCUCGGCGUGAAUGCUUCACGAUAUGCCAUAUGGACACAGAGCUGGUACACUAUAUGGCAUAAUCCAAAGUUUUGCUCAUUUAAAUUGUAAAUUGUACAAUGAAAAGCCACUAAGAAGCUUAAAAUAACUUUCUACUAAAACAUUUUGUCAGUCUGUUUUCUGAGUAAAGAACAUGCUGGAACUACUGACCAUCUGUUUUCUUUGUGAGUUAUACAAUACAGGAAAGGGAAGCGAACAGGUUUUAUUUUUACAUCCUGAUAACUUUAGGGGUAUUUUGAAGAUUAACAGAUAGUGGAAUGUUUUUCAGGGCCAUUUUAUUCAUGAGGCUUAUUGUAUGAGGCUCGGCCGUUUCUGAGGUAAUGAUUUUAAACGUUUUCAUAGAAACAGCUUGGCUAGAGUUGAGCAGGCUGUUCGAUAGAGGAGGUGGAAACCUGAAUUCAAACAUGACUCAUCUUGUCAUUAUCCAGCCAGACUCGCAAUUAAUUUUAAUUUCAAAGUUGAAUUCGGUAAUGGAAAUAACAUUUAACAAAGACUAACAGGAAAAUAAUGCCCCUAUUCUUCACUUGUCAGCGUGACUCAUUUGUCCAUGGUUUAUUCUGGAGUUUUUUACAUUUAUUUUUUAUUUUCUCUCCACCUCUCUGUUCUGUUAUAAGGACAAUCAUGUGGCCAGUGACACUUUAAUUCUUGAAAGUCCAAUAUCUUGAAAACUUGACUGUUGACAUGCAAAACAUUUUGGAUCUGUAUUAACAGUGCAUUAAUGAAAAAAAUACCCAAAUAUAGUUUGAGUCGAAUUUCCAUUUAAAGGUAGAACAGAGAAGCUUCUCAGACACCUAUGUCUGUAUUGUGCCUUUGGCAUGUAGUAUUGGCAAUUCCCUACCCGGAACCAGAGGGACUGUUCGGUUAGAUGAGGCUGUCAGAGGCAUGAUGGACCUCCAUAAUAUCUGUGGAAAUGAGACCAUGAACAGGACAUGUAUGUGAUUUAUUAGAGAAAAUGUCAUCCACGUUGGUGACAAAUCUACAGAUAAAAUCUACAUGAAAAUCUGUGAAAAGCUAGGCAUGGAAUUUGCUGUCUCUGUGAUAUGAGAAAAAAAGGAUCAAUACCUCUUCCAGUGCUCUUGGGGGCGCCUCUGAGCUACGUAACAUCUACAGUAUGUAUUCUGUAACAUUUUGUAAGCAUUUGAAAAUAUACAUAGAAACAUGAUUGCCAAAGUAUAAUAAAACUUGCAUUCAAAACUACAGGUAAGUCUUUAGAAGAGUGAGGGAGGGGUCAUUUCAUAAUGUUGAGUGAGUCUCACUUGCAGUCUGUGGGAAAGGCACAUGAAACACAUCUCACGUUCUUAUCUCUGAAAUGAGAGAUGCAGAGUUUUGUCCAACAAUGUUUUCACACACACAUACAAACGCACAUGGCCGAUAACGUCUGUUGAAUCAGUGUUGUUUCACCAUGUCCCUCUGAUGAACUCUUCUGGUGUCUUGAGGCCACUCA